rnacentral:lncRNA from 1 species
AGGGAUAACGUCAGCGGUGACGUCACGCUGACAUCAGCGAGUGAAUGUCAACGGUAAAAAAAAUAAAUUGAAAUGCACUCACUGACAUCAGCGCCUUCGAGCUGAAGCCCAGGCUAGAUCUGCCCUUGGGCUUGAUCGGGCUGGUAGGACCUAGGGUUGGCCCGGGCUCAUUUUCCUGCGCUGGAGGUCCAAACCGAGCUGAGGGAGGCCUUUUGCCCUGGCAGAUGAGCUACGGUGGACAUGCUCUAAGAGAUUGAAAAGGUCCAUAUGAAAGCGGAAGGGUGUUGAGAAUCAAAUGAACACGUAAUGAUUGAAAAAAUUCAACAUCAACUGACUUGAGCUAAGCCGAGAUUUCCCUUUUCUCCAUGAUAUGCUCAGACACUCCAAUGUACCAUUGUACCUCAUUUCCGAUACGUUUUUCAUAAGUGCUUGCCAAACCCUUGUCAGAACUUGAAGGUAAUCCUUCACUGUAAAUUUGAG